CUCCUUAACAUGAUUUAACUCUUACAACUUCAUGCUCAAGCUAUUACCUCACUAUGGACCAUUUUGAGUUGGCUAUCUUAUCUUUUAGAAUUUUGAUUUUACUACCGAAUAUUUUCAUUUGUCUGAUUUUAGUCAGCAGACAGUACUUUUGACUUCUAAGCAAGUUAUUUAUUUUAAUAAAUUUUUAGUUGUGAGAAUUACAUGAAAUAUAUUAACUAAAUAUGCGAAAAUAAGCGAAGCUUUCGAAUUUUAAAGUUAAAGUGUCGUCGAUUGACUCAAAUCAAACAAACUGAAUAUUGGAUAGUAAAAUUAAAAUUUUAAAAAACUUGAUAGCUAACUAAACAUAAUUCAUAAUUUAGGUAAGUUCUGAACGUUUUUAUCUUUCUAAAAUUUGGUAGAUAAGUAUAAUGGAAUCAAAAUUGAGAAGUUUUUCACCCAAUUCCUACUAGCCAAGUGCAGUACAAGCAGUACCACAUACUGUAAUGUACUGUCAUAACAAAGUCUUAUGUUAAAAUUCGUAGUACCACUUCCCCCCCUGUACUGCAUCCUACAUUCUAGUAUAUGUUUGAUGGCUACAAAUAACGAACUGAUGCAGCUGAAGCAAGAAGAGAGAUUAUUGAGAGAGAGAGAGAGAGAGAGAGAGAGAGAGAGAGAGAGAGAGAGAGAGAGAGAGAUCCAUUUUGAGUGGUAACAGUAGCAGUGGAAGGGGCAUGCAGAGGAGUGGAAAUGAUCAGAUGAUGAUUCCUGGGUCUUCUUUUAACUCCUGUGCUUGCCUCUUCCACCCCUACUGCUGCCACUUCCUCGCUCCUAUCGAAGGUUAUCUGUGUAGAGCAUCUUUGGUCCUUAUUUUAAUGAAUAAUAAGGCUACUAUACUAUUAAUAGUAUCAAGCAUUUGAUACUAUUAGAUUUUCGACCUUUGGAUGAAGGUUUGUGCGGUUAGGAUAAUAGUGAUCCUCUAGGGUUAAGUGAGCGGUUGGUUGAAUAGUAUGCGAUAAAUCUAACGGCGGAAAAUUCGAUAGCACUAAGCACUUGAUACUAUCGAUAGUAUAGUACCCGGACGCUAUUUUAAUUAUGUUAUGCUAUGAAUAAAGCACUUUUUUUACUAAAGACGUUAAAACAUCAAAAUUUGGCUUCUACUUUGGAGUUCACAGUCUACUGAUGUGGAGCGGGUCUCUUUCGGGUGUGCGAACGCUGUCGACGCCGCAAACGCAACUUUGAGCAUGUGGCUUGAUCAAUCCA
rnacentral:lncRNA from 1 species